GUGCUCCCUUCAGCAGCACAUACACUAAAAGUAGAACGAUACAGAGAAGAGUAUCAUGGCCCCUGCACAAGGAUGAGACAAAUUUGAGAAAGAAAUUGAUGUUUUUA
ensembl:snRNA U6 U6 spliceosomal RNA